ACAGUACUCCCUCCGUUCCGAAUUACUUGUCUUAGAUUUGUCUAGAUACGGAGGUAUCUAGCACUAAAAUAAGUCUAGAUACAUCCGUAUCUAGACAAAUCCAAGACAAGUAAUUCGGAACGGAGGGAGUAUAUC
rfam:Triticum urartu cultivar G1812 contig51475, whole genome shotgun sequence.